rnacentral:lncRNA from 12 species
CUAGAAGCUCCUAGUCCAGUGGGGGAGGCAGGUGGUCAAACGGACAUCCAUAGCCAAGAGUGAUCAGUGCCACAAAGAGAGAGGCUUUGGAUGAUGGGAUCCCCUGGGGAAGGGCAGGAAAUGAAAACUGAGAUGUUCUUAGGGAUAUUUGCCCUGAAGAAGCAACAUAAACUACAACUUGAAGGACAAGUAUGAGUUUGUCCUAAGGAGGAGCAAUAGUAUGCCUCAGAUGAGGCUCAAGAGGCUCACCAGGAGAGAGUCAGUGAUUGCUGUGUCAUGGUAGGAGCUGCAGAAGAUGAAAUCUGAAAGGAAACGUGGUACUCUAUAUGCAGAAUCCGAAUCUCCAAGCUUGGAAUCUGGCACUCUUUGUGUAGAAGUCAAUGUCUGAUCAUGAAAAAUGUGUGGAGCCUCGAACUCCUGGCACGGCACCUGGUAUAAGGAUUAUAGAGCAGCUGAACCACCUGCUCCCCCGCAUCUGGAGAAGAUGGCCUGGACGCCCACCGCACACCCCGUGUGAUGUCCGUAAGCUCGGACUCCGUCCCGGUCACGUCCCGGUCACCCUGGCCCGGUGUCGAGCUCUGCUAAAUGCUCGUUCUGCUUCUUGCAGUUUUUCCUUCAGCUCUGCCUCAAUGGUGACCAAAAUGAAAUAUGUUCGAUCUAGGUAUGAAUUUAGGUCUGAUUCUGGGAAGGGGACACCGGUGAGGGUCAAGGUGGGAGGCAUCUUGUGGGGUGGCACGGCCUCUCAGGAUGAGUUCUGUUGCCCCAAGUUCCCACAACAGCCUGCAGCCUGGUGCCGCUGUGUGACAUGCAGAUUGUCCUCUGUGGGGCCGCUGCCGAAACCAGGGGCUGAUGGGGACGCAGGCUCAGGAUCUGUCCCCACAGAACUAAUCUGGCUCAUCAUGGCUUUGAAUUUCCUGGCCUCCUCGGCUCUGAAUUUUCAGAAUCAGAGCUCCUUCUUGGGUUAGGUACUGUUGUUCAGAUGGUCUGUUUUAAAAGUAAGUUAUCUCCUGAUAACUUAUCUCCGUCCUGAGAUGGGUAAUAUUUAGCUGGAAUAGCUCAGCAUGGGUCAGGAGAGGGUGGAAUUGUCCUACCAGAGAGUCAUAAAAGAGGCCCUGGAGGUGGGACACCUGGGUGGCUCAGUAGGGCACUUGGGUGGCUCCGCAGAUUAGCAUCUGUCUUCAGUUCAGGUCAUGAUCCCGGGGUCCUGGGAUCGAGUCCUACACUGGGCUCCCUGUGAGGAGCCUGCUUCUUCCUCUGCCUGUGGCUCUGCCUCUCUCUGUGUGUCUCUCAUAAAUAAAUAAAUAAAUAAAUAAAUAAAUAAAUAAAUA